UCUUCCUCGCUGCUGAGGCCGUCGCCUCUCCCCGGAGACCUGCUGGAGUGAUGGGCUGCAUCGGAUCCCGGACUGUGGGAAACGAGGUCAUUGCAGUAGACUGGAAAGGACUGAAAGAUGUGGACCAAAUCAAUAUGGACAGCACCAGUUCUCUGCAUGGCAGCAGCUUCCAUCGACCUUCCACUGAGCAAACACGGACAGAUUUUUCUUGGGAUGGUAUUAAUCUCUCCAUGGAAGAUACGACCUCUAUCCUCCCCAAGCUGAAACGCAACUCCAAUGCUUAUGGAAUUGGGGCUUUGGCAAAAUCAUCUUUUUCUGGGAUAUCCCGCAGCAUGAAGGACCAUGUCACAAAGCCAACAGCUAUGGGCCAAGGCCGUGUAGCUCACAUGAUUGAAUGGCAAGGCUGGGGUAAAGCUAACAGCCAGCAGCAGCAGCACACGCAUGAGACGGCACGCAAAGAUGCUGAUGCCUAUUCAGACCUGAGUGACGGUGAAAAGGAGGCCCGUUUCCUUGCAGGAGUGAUGGAGCAAUUUGCUAUUUCUGAGGCAACUCUCAUGGCCUGGUCCUCAAUGGAUGGUGAGGAUGUGAGUGUAAAUUCAAAUCAGGAUAAUCCAGCAGGCAACUAUUCUGAGAACUAUCAGGAGCUAAUGGAGAGCCAAGAACACAUGGCCCAGACGCAGUAUGAUAGCUGGCCUCAUUCCUAUGUCUCACAGGGCAUGUAUUGCUUAGGUUCAUCUGACGCCUGGGAGACCAGUGAUCAGUCCCUCAUUGCUUCCCCAGCAACUGGCUCAUACUUAGGCCAGAAUUUUGAUGACUCCCAGACAAACCUUCAGGAAAGCAUUUUGAUUCAGGGCAGCCUCAUCCAGCAGCAACAGCUGCAGCAACAGCGACAACAGCAGAACUUCAUCCAGAGCACAGGGCUGGUCCAUGUGUGGCCCCUGCAGACUGCUCAGGGUGGGGCUGAGUCCAGCACCUAUAUGGAGGACCAUGUUGAGGAUGAAGGGAACCCACGUCUGGAGAAGGCUCCUCUCCUAAACAAGAAGCCCUCUCCAGAGGAGGAUGAUGCAGUGUGCCGGGACCUAGAAUCGCUAUCUCCUAGAGAGGAGCUGGAGCAUGCUGCACUGAGCCGCAAAGUCUCAGAUGUCACCUCUUCUGGGGUACAGUCCUUUGAUGAGGAAGAGGGAGAAUCAAACAACUGAUGCUUUCUGUGAAGUUCUCAUCACUGAUAAACAAAGAAAGGGAUGGAAAGGAAUGAAAUGGCAGGGAUUCUUCUCUCCAGCUUCCCAGACUUCCAAGCAGACACACCUUCCAUUCCUGACAUAUAUUUUUUAAAUAAGAGGAAAAUUGAAAGUCAUUGACAGAUGAAGACCUCUUCUACCCCUUCACCAUGGACACAUAUUUCCAAGUUUUAUUGCUCUGGGCAGCACACAUGAGGUGCUUGGAGAAAUCUGGAUUGGCUUGAUACAUUGCUCGGAUAACAAGAGAGUGAUACCUGCUCCUUUCUUGAUUCAGGUUUAGACCUCAGCAUAUUUUCAGGAAGAAAAUAUGAGGAGACAAAAAUGUGACCAAAGUAGUAUCUUCAAGGCUCUCAGAGUUCAGACAGCUCCUGGCAAGUAAAGCAGAUUAUGUCCAGAACUAUGAGAAAUGUGAAUGGGACUCUCAGAUAGGAUUUUAGCCCACUCAGUUUUCUGACACACAUGCAGUCAUAUGAAGAGGGGACUCCUUCAUGAACUCCCAAGUCUUGCCAGCCAACUCCACAUCAAGCGGAUCUGUCUCUCCUCUUCAUUACACCUGAAAGGAAAACACCUUCGGGAGACUUAAGUAAGAAUGAUAAUUUGGGGUAGGUAAGAGAUAAAAGCUUUUGUGACCACUUUUCCCCGCUCCCCCCACCCCUGUUUCCUUGGGCUUACCUACAUCUUUCUUAGGAGGUAGCUCUUCUCCUGAAUGAUGAUCUUUUGAUAUCUCUUUAAAGAUGUUCACACAUUCAGGUGCUAACCUCCUCCAGGCAGGAGACUUUGAUGAUCUCCUACAGUUCUUGCAGGCACAGUGCUAGCUCAGUGUC